rfam:Ipomoea nil DNA, scaffold: scaffold3050, cultivar: Tokyo-kokei standard.
GUGCCUUUAGCUUAAUGGGUAAAGCUCUUGACUUCAAACUUGGUGGUUAAGGGUUCAAACCUCACUUAAGACA